rfam:Heligmosomoides polygyrus genome assembly, scaffold: HPBE_contig0001319
GCACCGGUGGUGUAAGGCGAACAUCGCUGCCCGGAAAGCAGAAGAUGCGGGUUCGAGUCCCGCCUGGCGCA